rnacentral:rRNA from 1 species
UACGGGGGGGGUAAGCGUUGUUCGGAAUUACUGGGCGUAAAGGGCUCGUAGGCGGCCAACUAAGUCAGACGUGAAAUCCCUCAGCUUAACUGGGGAACUGCGUCUGAUACUGGAUGGCUUGGAUUUGGGAGAGGGAUGCGGAAUUCCAGGUGUAGCGGUGAAAUGCGUAGAUAUCUGGAGGAACACCGGUGGCGAAGGCGGCAUCCUGGACCAACACUGACACUGAGGAGCGAAAGCCAGGGGAGCAAACGGG